rnacentral:lncRNA from 1 species
AUUGAACCAAAGGAUGGGCUGCAGGCUACACGGAACCGCUUAGGGCUUUGGAAACUCUGAGGAAAGCCAAAUAGUGACGUGACUUCACCAUGGAAUCUGCUAAAGAGAAUCCCAUGAGUAUUUCAGUGACAGAAUCCACUCAGGAGAGUUGGGGCAAAGCUGGCCAAGGUUGUGAAGGAGCUGAGUUCUGAGUUCAGGUAUCCAUAUGGCAGUGGAAUGAAUGAUGCCUCCUGUCCCUUGAGAGCUUUGAGACGUCUGGGAGGUCCUAGAAAUCUCUUCGAAUCUCCAGUCCAGGACACAACUGCCUAGGGGAAUUCCAGGGACAGGCGGCAGAGAUUGCAUGGCCUGCAAGGUGAUGGACUCCAAUGUGAUCACUGAAGGAUCCACCAAAUUGCAAACCACUGACAGUUCCAGUGCCCAAACCCCCUUCUGGAGAGGAGACGAGAGAAGCAAGCUAGGAGGCCCAUUACUUGGCUAGAGAGCUGAUGGACCACUACUCGGGUCUCCUGCAAGUUGCUGAAAUGCUGUGAGGAAACUGUCAUCGCUCACAGGAUGGAAUCAAGAAGCUCGGAGAAUUGAACUAUGCCGGAAAUACUUCAGACUGAGGUCCUGGGACCCCAGUUCUGAAUCUGAUUGUCUCCCCUCCCUCCCUCUCUCCCUCCCUCCUUCUUUCCUUCCCUCUCCUAUAUUUCUUUUUUCUUGACUUGGGGAAUUGUAAACAUGAACUGCUUUAAUAGGUAUAACUUUGUUCCCAAAUUAGAUGUUACUCUAGACAUGUUACUAGAAACUUAGGAGAGUCCUACCAAAGUCACUGCCUGUCACCUGGGGAAUCAGGGUAGGCCUGUGGAGCAUUUAAGUCCCAUUAAUAAAAAUAAUAUAAGAACCGACUCAAAAGAAGUUUAAGGAUGUUUGUUAUUAGCAUUACACACACACACACACACACACACACACACACACACACACACACAGAGGAGAAGGUAAAAGGAAUCUCAGCAGCUGCCCAGAGGUGGAAGAUGGAGAGAGAGACAACCCAGCCAUGAAGCUUAAGUUAAGGCAACAUGAAGGUCAGCCAAUGGCAACCAAGCAGCCACAUGGGGGCGGGGCUUUAAAGGAAGAGUGAAGGCUGAAGUGCUCGGAAGGAGAUGGAGAGAACAGAAGAGUCCAGUGGCUUUCUGCGUAGUUCAGAAAGGCAGAAGGCACUCUUUCUAAGUUGCCUGGCUACAGCUUUGUGAGGGACUGCUCUAGAGAGGGAGGUUCUAGAGAGGAAAACACACUGUUAUCUCAUUAAAGGGCUAAUUAUUCCUCUUAUCUCUCUAAGAGUUAAGGUAGUCCUGCCUUCCCAAGGCACAGUCAGGUCACAUACCCUGAUGAUUGACCUGCUCAGCUGGGAUGUUGGGUAUCUACCCAAGCCCCUUUCUGGAAACAGUUUUCCCUUAAUUUCCCUCUGCUGCCUCUGAAACAAACAGAUUCUGUUCCUGGAGGUUUCCUGAACUGAGGUCUCAGUCUAGGGAGUAAACGGGGCCAUGUGGUUGCAUUAGCAUAGUUCUUAUCUUUAGGUUAAAAAUUCAUGUCCUUUAUGUUUUCUCAAGUUUGGAUUCAGGUGAUGGCAUAGAGGAGCCACGUUGCUUAGCUACCAAAGACUUCUUUAACUGUGGCACCAGCUAUGCUUAAAACACAGUCAAGCAUGUGUUACACCAGGGGCUGGUGUGAGUUGUUUGCUAUGAAUGUUGAACUACAAAGAAACAUACGUCUCACAGUCUGAGACUUAGGUUCCCUCUGAUCCUGCAGCUGGGACAGUAGACAAUGUUUUAAAUAUCAAAAGUGGCUUUCAAUGGCUUUGAAUCUUUUUGGGCAAUUUGGGGUGGUUUUGCACUGCCAGUUUCUUAGGUCAAGUAGGAAUAAGAGAUCAACGGCCUUCCUGACUGCAUUGUUCAGGCCUCUGUGGAUAUGGAAGCGCUAAAGAAAGGGAAGGCGUCCUCAGUGGGGUUUGCAAGUGGGGACGUUUCUGUGUCUGUCCUGGAACUGUGUCUGCCUUACAAUAAAAUACCUUGGUUGACUCAGCAAUAAAGUCUCUG